rnacentral:tRNA from 1 species
GGAGGCUUUAGCUUAAUUAAAGUGUCUGGUUUGCAGUCAGAGGAUGUAGAUUAUAGUAUUACAAGCCUU